CAAAUUAUUGAUUACAUUUAUUUUGUAUUUAAAAUUUAGAGUUUUAAAAUAUAAGUUUAGAGUAUAUGUAAUAUGAUUUAGGGUAUAUGAUUUUUGUUAUGGUAUAUAUUUAAGUUUAGGGUUAGAGUAUUAGAUUUGAGAUUUGAAAUUAAAAUUAAUUUUCUUAAAUUAAUAAAAAAUAGAAUUUUAAGAAUUUUAGUUCGAGUUUAGGGGAUGUGAUUAAUUUAGGGUAUGAUAUAUAUAAGUGUAUAAUUUAGUGUUUGAGGCUUAGAUUAAUGUUUGAAAUUAAAAUUUUAAAAGGUUAAAACUUGAAAAUAUUUAAACUUAAGAUUUAUAAUUAAAAUAAGAAAAUGUUUGAGUUUUAGGAUUGUGUUUUAAGUUUAGGGUCUAAGAUUUAGGAUUUAGCUUGGGUUUAGUUUGGGUUUAGGUUUUUUUUGGAGGGUUGAGAAACAAAAUGGAAUGAGAGGGAAGUGAAAAACGAGGAUGAGAAUGAAAAUGAAAAAGAUUAGACACUUGUUUUCACUAAGUAUCUGGCCGAAAAAAUGAAUUAUGUGUUGUGUCAAUUUACAAUAGCGGUUAAUUUUGGAUCUGAAAUGAUAAGGCGUUUACACUUUGCAAAUUAACGCGGCUAAUUUUUUUUUAUUUUCCCGCGAUAACAAAGAUAGCGUUUAAAUCUUAUAAACGCUAUUAGAAAGGUCAGUGUUGGUAU
rnacentral:lncRNA from 1 species